CUUUUGUAUUGAAAACAACAAACAACUCUGAGAGAAAUUUAAAAAAUUCUAAAUAAAGAGAUAUAUCAUGUGUAUUGGUUGACAGUCUCGAUAUUGUUGACUUUUUUUUCUAAAUUAAGAUAUAGAUUCAAUGCAAUCCCAACCAUUUUAUUUUCUUUUUUUUGCAGAAAUGAAGGAGCUAAUUCUAAUGUUUGCACACAAAUGCCAAAGACCUGGAAUAAUCAAGUAUACGUUCAAAUCUAGAUGAAUUCAAUGUGAAGAACAGUGGAAAAGGAGACAGUGAAUUGAAUGACAGCUAUUUGAAUAUCAGCAGAGAGGGCUUCAAGAAAAUGUUCUAUCAAAUGAUUGCAAAAUAAGGGGUAAGUUCAAACCUGUGACUUUGAAGCUCUUCCUCUCAAAGCAUCAUAAGACUCAUUCCUGACUCAAUUGCAAUAGUAAAUAAGUGGCCCAAAUAUGUAUUCAUAGAGGGAGUGUCUUGGUCAUUUCAGGUUCCUUUAACAAGAUACCAUAGACUGGCUGGC
rnacentral:lncRNA from 13 species